rnacentral:rRNA from 1 species
GAUGAACGCUGGCGGCGUGCCUAGUACAUGCAAGUCGAGCGAACAGACGAGGAGCUUGCUCCUCUGACGUUAGCGGCGGACGGGUGAGUAACACGUGGAUAACCUACCUAUAAGACUGGGAUAACUUCGGGAAACCGGAGCUAAUACCGGAUAAUAUAUUGAACCGCAUGGUUCAAUAGUGAAAGACGGUUUUGCUGUCACUUAUAGAUGUAUCCGCGCCGCAUUAGCUAGUUGGUAAGGUAACGGCUUACCAAGGCAACGAUGCGUAGCCGACCUGAGAGGGUGAUCGGCCACACUGGAACUGAGACACGGUCCAGACUCCUACGGGAGGCAGCAGUAGGGAAUCUUCCGCAAUGGGCGAAAGCUUGACGGAGCAACGCCGCGUGAGUGAUGAAGGUCUUCGGAUCGUAAAACUCUGUUAUUAGGGAAGAACAAAUGUGUAAGUAACUAUGCACGUCUUGACGGUACCUAAUCAGAAAGCCACGGCUAACUACGUG